GGGUCAGUAGGUCGGUCGUGCCACCGGUACGUACUGGUCUCACUGAUUCCUCCUUCCUGAAGAACCGUAAUGCCAUUAAUUUGGUGUUGCGGGGAAACAGGACUGUUACUUUGAGAAAAUUAGAGUGUUUAAAGCAAGCUAACGCUUGAAUACAUUAGCAUGGAAUAAUGAAAUAGGACGAUCGAUCCUAUUUUGUUGGUUUCUAGGAUUGACGUA
rnacentral:rRNA from 1 species